CCGAGUUUACAACUCCCAAACCCCUGUGAACAUACCUUAUACGUUGCCUCGGCGGAUCAGCCCGCGCCCCGUAAAAAGGGACGGCCCGCCCGCAGGACCCCUAAACUCUAGUUUUUAGUGGAACUUCUGAGUAUAAAAAACAAAUAAAUCA
rnacentral:misc_RNA from 1 species